AACCAAACAAUAAUGGCUUCCAAAGAUCACUUCUCACCAAACUGGAAACAUUAAUUGAUAAGCAAGAAGAAGCGUUGUCAAUAUUGCGUGCUCUGUUAAGCGCUAAGAAAGGUGUAGACGAGGACGAAAUUUUGGAAGAUGUAGUACCUAAUCCUUUAAAUUCGGUUGAAGAACUUGAGGACCUAUCUUCUAGUCUUGAUGAAGAAAAGUCCAGAAGAAAGUCGUUUAAAAAGCAGAAAGUCAAAGCGAUCAUUUCAGCACCUUGCCCUCUGCAAAGUUGUAACAAAAGCCAGCCUCAAAGCUCAUAAAGGUUGCAGCGAGGCCAACGUUGAAGAGCAAAUUGCCGAAUUUUUAAAAUAUGCUCCAGGCAAGCAAGGUGGUUCCAGAUUUAAGGUAACAUGUAAUUAUCAUCAUAGAUUGCUGGAACCGAAAAGACAACUUU